GACGUAGGGCGCGAGCGUUGUCCGGAUUUAUUGGGCGUAAAGAGCUCGUAGGCGGCUUGUCGCGUCAACUGUGAAAACCCGUGGCUCAACCAUGUGGUCUGCAGUCGAUACGGGCAGGCUAGAAUUCGGUAGGGGAGACUGGAAUUCCUGGUGUAGCGGUGAAAUGCGCAGAUAUCAGGAGGAACACCGGUGGCGAAGGCGGGUCUCUGGGCCGAUAUUGACGCUGAGGAGCGAAAGCGUGGGGAGCGAACAGG
rnacentral:rRNA from 1 species